rnacentral:lncRNA from 1 species
CUCUUAUAAACGGUCCUUUUCAGGGCCAUCAAUAUUUUACAAAAAGAUUCUACUUUUGUUGUAUAUUCGAGAAAAUCGAACACAAAUGUAUUUUCAAACGUCAGUCUGUGUGUUAUGUUAAAACUAUAGACUAGUAAGUGUUCGAAAUGAACUUCCACUGUUAGUUCGGUAUAAUAAAACAAUUGUGGCCCCUUAGAAUCGAUGAAUAUCCAAAAUUGUCA